rnacentral:lncRNA from 1 species
UAUAGUUUUGCAAAACCGAGCUUGAACACUCCUAAUCUCCACCCAAAUGCAAAUUUCCCAGUUCCAGGCCAAAAUCAGACAUUUCAAUCGGUGCAAAACGUUUCUAAUUCAUCAAAUCAUGCACAGAAAUAAAAAAAACCCUAAUUUUUUAUGCUUCUACACAUGCUUCCAUCAAAUUUCUAUUUUCAAAGCCCUAAAUUGAAAAAUGUAUGACUUACUUGGGUGGAGAUACUUUGAAUGCUUGCAAAAUGUUCGUGAGAUGAUGAUGAAUACUGCCUAAAUGCAGUGCUCACUCCAAAAACCCCAAACUUUGAUGGUAAAAUGAUGCAAAAGUGAUGAACAAAGGUUUUUUAGUGAGUGGGUGAUGGGAAGAAUGAAGAGAAACUCUUAAAAAGCUCUUGAGAGUGCAAAGGAAAAGUGAAAUUCGAAAAUUGGCGCUUGGGCAACCCUAAGGGGUAUUUAAAAUGUGCAGAUGGGCCUCUAACGCUGAGCUAUAUUAAAAAGCCCAAAACCCCUUUGUGACGCCACCGCUCAGCACUGGGUUACCGCUGAGCGGUAAGUGUGAUUUUGAAAUCUCUCCUUUUUGGCUCGCCUGAGCAUUAUCUAACCUGUAUCACUCGAUUUCAACUCUCAAUUUUAACUUUUUAUGCAAUUCCCCUCUCAUAUGCAUCAGAUAAGUCCUAAAAUGCAAC